UCCUGGUAGCUUAACUGGUAAAGAAUCCGCCUGCAAUGCAGGAGACCCUGGUUUGAUUCCUGGGUCAGGAA
rnacentral:tRNA from 1 species